AGUGAGUUUUGCCUGUAUUAAUUUACUUUGAAUUAAUUAUAAGGCCAGGACCAAACUGAAAGAUCCCUGAAGGGACACCCUUACUCAAGUCUCGGGAAGUUGCGGACCCCAGACACACGAGAGACC
rnacentral:pre_miRNA from 14 species